GACGAACCGUGCGAACGUUGUUCGGAAUCACUGGGCUUAAAGGGCGCGUAGGCGGCUCGCCAAGUCUGGAGUGAAAGCCCACGGCUCAACCGUGGAAGCGCUUCGGAUACUGGCGGCCUCGAGGGGUGCAGGGGCGUGCGGAACUUCCGGUGGAGCGGUGAAAUGCGUAGAUAUCGGAAGGAACACCGGUGGCGAAAGCGGCGCGCUGGACACCUACUGACGCUGAGGCGCGAAAGCCAGGGGAGCAAACGGG
rnacentral:rRNA from 1 species